GCAAUCCCGCCCUGGAAACCCCUCUGUGAUGACUGCAUGCUGCUGCUCGCCAGCUCCCUACAGAGAGCGCGGGCAUGGUGGCAGCCCAUGGAGAUGACUGCUCGGUGCGCGGAGCCGCCGGGGCGGCGGAGGACGAGGCGGCGGGGAUGGCAGCCGGGGCGGCUUCGGCCUCCUUUGGAUACUAGAAGACCUCUGCCUUCUCUUCUCCAGGCUGAACAACCCCAGCUAUCUCAGCUUUUCUUCACAGGAGACGUGCUUCAGCCCUCCAAUAAUCCCCUGGACCUCUUCUGGACUUACAUCCACAGCAAAGCAUGAGAUGAAACCCCACCUUCAACAUCCAACUCUUCCUGAUAAAGGACUGGGAACUCCUCACAAUAACUCUCCACUGGUACAACUGAAGAACACCAAUAAACCAGAUGAAGUUUAACAAAAGCAAAUGUGGGGUCCUGCAUCUGGGAAGGAAUAACCGCAAGUAUCAGUUCAGCUUGGAACAUGACCUGCUGGAGAGGAGCUCUGCAGAGACCUGAGAGUCCUGGUGGAUGACAGAUUGGCGAUGAGCCAGCAGUGUGCCCUGGUGUCCAAGAAGGACAAUGGGAUCCUGGGGUACAUUAAAAGGAUCGUGGCCAGCAGGUCAAGGGAGGUGAUCCUCCCCCUCUAUUCUGCCCUGGUCAGGCCUCACCUGCAGUACUGUAUCCAGUUCUGGGCUCCCCAGUACAAAAAAGACAGGGAUCUCCUGGAAAGAGUCCAGAGGAGGGCCACAAAGAUGAUAAAGGGCCUGGAGCAUCUUCCCUAUGAGGAAAGGUUGAGCAACCUGGGUCUGUUCAACCUUGAGAAAAAAAGACUCAGAGGUGAUUUUAUUAAUGUUUAUAAAUAUCUUAAGUGUGGGAGUCAAAGGAACAUGGUCAAACUCUUUCCAGUGGUCUGUGGGGACAGGACAAGGGGAAACAGCCAUAAACUGGAGCAUAGGAAGUUCCAAUAUGCAAAUAGACACCAAUAUGCAAAGGAACUUCUUCACAGUGAGGGUGACACAGGCACAUGUACAGUGAUCUGUGGCCCUGCUUCAGCUGUCAGCACAGAGCUCCUCACACUCCCUACUCUCUGUAAUCUCUACCAUAUAGCUAGUUUUGGGUACACACAUCAUUUUCUCCCCAGUUACUAGUGGUUGAGACGCCACUGGCUCCACUACUGACACCACAGGCAAGGGACACUCGCACUCCUGAUUUGUAUUGAGUAGCUGGCAAGCGGUUCAUUCUUACUGUUUUCAACAAUAACUGGUAUUUAGUCCUUGUAAAAUGUACAAAGGAUAGAGAGUGAUACUACACAGACAGUUGAUACUACACAGAGAUUUAACGAGAAGAUAGGAAAGAAUUCAGUGAUCAGGCUCAGAGAUAAGUCAGACAAGCACACUGACCAUCCUUGUUGUAUGUAUGACUGGCCAUCUUCUGUUCGUUCUUUGUUCCUCCCUGCUCUCCUUUCUCUUGCACACUACCUUAUCAGUUUGCACAGCCUGUCGCUGACAUCUUGAACUUUUAUGUCUGCAUUCUUAUCAGUUUAAAAGUCCUGGUUUGCUUGCAGUUUCUUGAUAGUGAAUCAGUUAGUGACACAAUUUAAAUUUGAUUUUGGUUAUUCUCUUCAUUUACAUUGGUUGGUCCAGUUUUAUGGCAAGGUCCUUAGUGAUAUGAUCUUACUGAAAAAAUAAUGAUUCUCACACUCACAUUAAUGUAACUGACUGACUUGUACAUCCUUCUCAUGUCUGUGUCUCUGUGUGCUCUUGUGUAUGUCUUUCUUGUUUUCUUAGCACCCCUUUCUGCAUUUGACCAGGUAAUGUUAAGAGAGCACUCUAAUUCUACAGACCCUUACAGUAAUCAAAGUUCAGUUUCCUUCAUUUUGACCUGAUGUAAUUGCUGAUUACUUCCAGAAGGGAUGCCCCUCUCUACAAGAAAGUCAUUGAAGCCAUGGAGUGUGUCCAGAAAAGGGCAAUGACGCUGGUGAAUGGUCCAUUUAGUUUGGAGACGAGGAGGUUCAGGGGAGACCUUAUGGCUUUCUACAACUACCUGAAAGGAGAUCGUGGUGAGAUGGGGGUUGACAUCUCCCACAUAACUAGUGAUAGGAUGAAAGAAAAUGUCCUCAAGUUGCACCAGGGGAGGUUCAGACUGGAUAUUAGGAAAAAUUUAUUCUCCAGAAGAGUGGUCAAGUGUUGGAACAAGGUACCCGGGGAGGUGGUUGAGUCACCAUCUCUGAGUGUUCAAGAAAAGUUUAGAUGUUGUACUAAGGGACAUGGUGUAGUGGAGAAAUAUUGGCUGUACGUGGACAGUUAGACUAGAUGAUCUUAGAGGUUUGUAUUAUCUCUUUCCCCAUGCCCAAGUUUCUGAUAACAUCUUUGAUAACAUCAUGCUCCUGUAUCUGUUGAUGGGUUAUUUUCUUUACUUAGCUACAUCCCAAUCCCAGUACUGCAGUGAAAUAAGGAAGAUUUUUAAAGCAUAUUCCAAGCCUUAACAUAGCUGUCAUUUCAGUUUUACGUGGCAGAAAAGAUUGAUCAAUUUUUACAGCUGGAACAAGACUGUUCUAUUUUGAGUUAACAGAAACCUCUACUUGUUCUGUUUAAUUAAUUGUUAACAUCUAAAGACAUUAUUUUAUAGAAAAGGACCCUACAAAUAUAUUGUCUUUUCUAGUUUUGAAAUACUGGACUUAUAAUCUUUAAAAUAUACUGUGGGCUUUUUUUGUUUGUUUUUGUUUUUGUUCCAUUUCUGUUUCUGAAUCUGUCUUUUGGUCUCAGAUAAAAACAAACUACAGUUAUAAACUAGUCAGAGAUAUUAAAGAACAUUUCUUUGCUUACCUAAGAAAAACUAUGGUAAUUUAACCUUUGGUGCACUGUUUUCAAAUGUAUUCACCAAAUUAAAUCAGCUAUCAAAUUUUUAUUUUAUGAUAUUUAAUAUAUGCUAAGUUACUCAUAAUUUAUUUCUAGUCCAGAGCUCCUGCCUAUGAGUUAUACCUAUACAAACACUCAUAACUAUUAUACAAGUAAAAUAUCACAGUAUCCUUAAAACAGCUCCAGCAAAGGUGUAGACUAACCAACUCCUUCAUAUUUAAAAGGUCACAUAUUAAAUAGAGAAAACUCAAAUAGAAUCAGGGUUUGUGCACUACUCAGCUUCAGAUAAGACAGAAAAUGCUUUGAGGUUUUCAGUUUAAUAACUUCAAGAAAAUUUUUUUCUUAGAACUUGUUUGGAAACUUUUAACCUGUAUGUAUUGUUUAGAAAUCUGAUGGUAGGUAACUUAGAGCCAUAUGAAUCAUAAAAACAUAUUUUAUCUUAUAUUAUUUGUCUAUUGUGCUUGUGUUUUAACUAAAAAGUCCUAACACAGUCAAUAGUUAGUGAUAAACACAGUAACAAAUUCCUUACAGCUUACAGUUGUAGAUCAUCAAUUUUGAGUCAAGCUUCUGUUCAUCUGCAUUUUUAAUUUCUGGACUGUGAGAAACAAAACCACUGGGAGGUUGAAACUGCAACCUCGUGUGUUUAUUGAAAAGAAGUCAUUUGUGAAAGGAAAAAUUGCUUCAGAGAUUUAGCCAAUGGGUUAAUAUUUGGGAUUCAGAUUCCAUCAAACAUUUAUCCUGGAUAAAUGCCAAUUGGGAUUUAAUGUGUAAAGGUAUAGGGCCAAACUACAAACUGAUUGUCAAUUCAUACACAUCUAGACUUCCAAAGUAUGCAUUUAAAUGCAUUUACUUUCCCACUUCCUGGUAUAGUUGUUUAUUAUUAUUAUUAUUAUUAUUAUUAUUGUAACUGAAAUGAUAUACUGUGACACAUAUGCAUCAUAAUUAGUGUGAAAUCAUUAAACAUCUAUUGAAACUUGAUUGAUUGAUUAUCCUUAGCAUUUCUUGAAGAAUAAACAGAAAUGACAAAAAUAUCUCAGCCUGUCAGGACAUGAGACUGACCUAACACAAGUAAAAUAAAAAUAAAAGUAAUCCUAAAGGAAUUCCUUUCAAAAUGUUAACUUAUUUUAGCGUUUUCUACCUCCCUGUAAAGGGGAAAAGCUAACUCUAGACAAGGAGUAUCUGUUGACAUAGGAAUCUCAGGCCAGAAAAACAAAUAACAUUUGAGUAGAUCACAGAGGAAGCAAACAUAUUAUCACUCUGUUGUUUGAUGUAGCCACCUCGGAAAUAGAGUUUUCUGUUAGGCAAUGGGAAAUUCCAAAUUAUGCAAGCAGCUUGUUUCUAUUAAUGACGUCCAUCUUGUCUUAUUUAACUCCUGGAUAAUAGAGAAGUUUUAAAUCCGGAAUAUUCCUCUAGCGCCUUUUUGCAGGUAUACAUCUGUAUACGUGUGUUAUAGGCAAAUACAUGGACAUUGACUCCAAUGGCCAUAUUCACAAAUUUAAAAAUAUUCAGAGCCCAUUAGUUUAUCUCCUCUCCCUCUGGAGAACAGUUCCAAAUGUUCCUCUCAAACUGUCUUUCCCAGAUAAGUUAAUUCCAUUGCAAGACAUUUCUAGCUUCCAGAUUUCUAUAAUUUUAUAAUGUCUCCUUUUGCUGGGGAAGGAGAAUUAGUUAAUUUUUAAAACUUUUCUAAUUAAGAGCAUAAAAAUUUAAAUAUAAUUGCCAUUAUUCAACUAACAAUUCUUAGCAAAUGGCCCUUGUGGCCAUUUCUACAAUGAUUGUUGGGUCCCUAACUAAUAUUUAGGUGACACAACUUCUGCUGAAGUCUGUAGCAGUUUAGGCAAUAUCUGUCAUUCACAUUUCAAGCUAAAAGAUUCCAGAAAGCAUUUAGGUGCUUAGCUUUUAAAUUGCAAUUGACUUCUCAGGUCUGCUCUGGGGAAAUAAUUUAUUUCCACUGGCAAAUAACCUGUUCACUGUUUAAAUGACUGUUGGGCAAACCAACUUCGUGGUAUAAGCGCCCCGUAAUAGGAAUUAGGUAGGAAAAUAUGAUUUUUUAACUGAAUAUCAUGGGUUGAUAAUGGAUACAUAAUGGACAUAAUUUCUCUUUAUUGUUUCCAUGUGGAUAUGCAUCUGUUCACUUAAGAAUGACCUUCAUUUACUUUUGAAUAGAAAACAGAUGGCUCCAGAGAAAUAAGUCAUAUUCAGUGUAUAUACAUAAGUGUGUAGAUGGAAAAUCCAAUGAAAAACAAGAUGAGAGAGGACAGGACAGUUAUGAGACUGUUGACAGAACAUUACAAUAUAAGACUGAAAUUCAGAGGAACACAAGAUAUCUAGGAAUUUGUAAUUAUAUUCACCCUUUAGGAAAUUGAACAUUUUAUAUUUAUUGCAUCCCACUCUAUAUCUCAACAUAAUAAGCAAUGUGCUCCGCUAAUGACGUGUUGAUAUUGGAGGAAUGAGAACAAUGGCCUUUGUGCUAAUUAGUUAUAUGAAGAAUCCAGUGAGAUAUAAAUUGUUAGACUUUAUGGUACCUUGAUUAUACAUUUUAAUCAAAACUGAAGGUAAUACAUAAUGCUAAUUAUACUACAGAAAUGAAUUCAAAUAGAUACAUUGUAACAUACUUGUAGGUUUAAGUGCCUUUCUCUUUAGAGGUUUCUAAUAUGUCUCCUAAUUAUCUAAUUAGCAACAAGUAUUUCUAAUUUUUUUAAACUUUUAAUGAGAAAUUCUGGCAGGCUGAACACUUUCAUUUCUAGCAGAAAAUAUGUGUGAAUUGUAAUUGCUACAUUAUGAAAAGCAAUGUAUCUUCAUCAAUUUAUACAACAAAGUGUAAGGACAAUAUUUUAAAGCUUAAACUUGGCAGUAAAAUGUGAUUAAUAUAGAUAAUUUUUAUAUGAGAUCUAGCACUUUCAGAAAGUGCUAAGGGAAAAGUUCAGAUAGCAACAGUAUCCUUCUGGACAUACUUUGAUGUUGUGCAUAUGUUAAUUAAAAAUAUUAAUGCCCCUGCCUGUUCUCAUUUAUCCAGAACACUAAGGUUUGAGAAGAUAAAGUAAAACAACUUGAGCUCAUGAAUCUUGUACUUCCUACUCUAGUGAAUCAUAGACUCUGAGUCAUUUGUGUUAAUGAUAAGAGAAUCACAUAUGGGCCCAUUUAGAAAACCUUUAUUCAUAUAUGUAUUAUCCCAUUUCUUGUAACAAACUGAAAUGCCAAGUUUUCACUCAGUGAGAAAGAUUUUUUGCAAGAUAAAAAACAUGUAAGUGAACUUACAAAACAAACAAACAAACAAACAAACAAAAAACCCUGAUAUAUGUGUAACUUGAAUUAUUACUACAGUAAACAUGGUAUAGACCAUUUUCACCAGAAACAAGAAGGAAGAGCUUAGGAAAUAAAGUAUCUUUGGAUUUCCUGAGAACUUCAGGAUAAAAUUCUACUCAAAUGAAUGGAAGGCAUACAUUCAGUCUCCAUCAUAUAUAAUCACAUAUCUAGCCCCAGAAUCAUAAACAUUUUAGAAGUACGCAUACUUUUAAGUGUUCCAAAUUGUGCUAGAGACAGCUUUGUUUCUAAAAUACAAUAUUUACAAAAUAGAACCCAAUCUUACCCUUGAUCUCUUAUUUUUGUACAACCUUCUGAAACUUUGUGAUUCUACGUUGUAUAUAGAGUUCACCAAUUUCCUCCUUGCUCCUCCGGUCUCCUCUGAGUGGUUUCAGAAUGACUGCUCAUGCAUGUGAAGGAUCAAAUCUCCCUUUGGUAGUAAAGUAUUGAUUUUUCUAUCAAUGUUCAGCUUAAAAUGAGCUUCAGAAAAAGUUUCUUUGAAGAUUUUUCUCAUCUUCUUUUGGUUACAUGGGAGAAGAAGUUGCAUUUUCUAUCCAUCUCUGCAAAGAAUUGGAAUGAACACCAGAAAUAAGAUUUUGUUCAAUGGAAGGAUAAUUAAAAUAUUGUCUAAUUUUUAAGGCACAUUUGCCAAAAUACUUUUCACAGUCUUUCUAAGUUUGUUAUUGUUCCUGCAGUUACAACAAAAUCAACUCAUAAAUAAAAUAAGAUCACAAAAUAUAUAAUAGAGCCAAGGGACCACUGUUGGGGAUUUCAGCAUUUUAACGGUCCCAAUUACCUAAUUAAUACAUAAAAAUGUAUUUUUAACAACACAGUUCAAAUUGUUUUGCAGUGAAUUCUUCCUAAGCUUGUUACCUUUUUCUCUGGUGGCAUGCUUGCCUUUCAAUACUGUCCCCAUGGGUUCUCAGAUGAACACUUUCAUCUUAUUUAAUAUUAGGGGGAAGGUGAGAAGGCUAACAGGAGCUAUAAGGCACUGCACGCUCCUGUCAGAAAAAACAUUAUAGUAGGGAAGCUGUCAGGUCACAGCUUGAGCCUCCUUCUCCCUGAGGGCCAGAAGCUGUAGAAGCUCCACAGAGGGUUGUUCAGGUCAGGCCCUGACAGUGAGGGCCCAUCACCCAGCCAGAACCAGAGCAGCCAGGGGGCUCCAGGGACGUAUAUCAUGUCAUUACCACAAUGUCAAGCUGGAGUGUGUCAGGUUGUGACCCUAGUCCUUCCAGCAGCACUCCCUCAGCCAGCUACAGAUCCCAACAGAUGGGAGACAAUCGUGCCAGCACGGGUGUGGGAAACCUGCCCUUGCCAAAGACAAAAUGCAGUGAGACCUAGGGCACAGAUACAGCAGUUUCAGAUAUUGACUGUGAGCAUUCUCACUAUGCCUAUGUGAAUCACAUCCUGACAGAGUCUAGGAUAGUUAAAGCAGAUGUAGAUUUACAGUGAGGCUAGGGGCACUUGCUGAGGUAUAACCCAUUUUGAUCCAGGUAAACUAGUUUUAGAAGGAAAGUUGCACUCUAAAAAUGUCUGAAACCUGAGACUUUUUGUAAUGUUUUUGUACUGUCUACUUGUAAUAAGGUGUGGACAAAAAACUGAAAAAGUUUUCAAAAGAAAAGUAUUGUUUAAUUUAAAUAUAUUUAGUAGUUCAUUAGAUAAUAUGUGUACAAAGUUAUAAUUAGUAUGGUAAAUAUGUAGAAACUCAAGGAAGUAUUUAAUAUUUUUCCUUGAAUCUUUCUGUCUUGCUUAAGUACAAUUUACAUCAUUCAUAUGCUGAAAAACAUUUUUGGUUUGUCCUCCUGCUUAAAUUGUUCUGCAUUUAAUCAUAAUUAAUUCCUGAAAAAAUUAUUUCGUCAUUCAUCCCUGACUUGCAUCUCACUUCCCCUGAGAUUUUUAUUGUGGCAUCUUUCACAAAUAAAGUUGCAUAUAAAUGACAAGGCAAUAAUUCUAAUCAAGUAGCAGUGUCUCAGAGUGUGCAUUGCUCUUGGUUUUUGAUCAGCACAGAGGUGUUGCACUAUUUUUUUGCUCUAUAUCCAUUUCUAAUGAGUGCAAUACAGAGAACAGAUAAUGAAACAAGUAAGGUAAAGCAGAAGGAAAACAGAUUUUGAAAUGCAUUUAAUGAACGACUCACCAAAAUGCUAAAACACAGAUGUCAAAUUACUUUGACUAUGCAAUCUAAGAUAUUUUCUGGCAAUUUUUUUCUGCUCAGCGGUGCUCAGUAUUUCACACGAUACUGAGUAGUGCUGAUGAAAACAAAUUAAAUCCACCCUCAGUUUCCUUCUUCCCCAUCCUCCGCCAAAAGUGUACUAGAAGAUCUGAAAUCAGUCAUAUAUAAAGCAAAUAUUCUUAACACAAAUAUUUUUUAACCAGGAAAAUGUAGCUUGAGUGAGUUGCUUGUUGAACUAAGGUUUAUCAUUAUUUUAUUAACUACAUAUUUUUUUUCAUAUUCAUACUUAAAAAUGCUAGCCCCAGUUGGCUCAGUUUCUAAAACUGAGUAUUCAGAUUUUCAGAGGAUGUGAACUAGUUUGAUGGUAGUAUGCCAAUUAAGAUAAUCAGAGAAAUGGACCAGAGUGUAUUACCAUCCUAUACAAACAGGGUGACCUAUCUCUUCCCUUUGUUUUGGGAUCCUUGACACUUUUAGCCUCAAUGACACAUAAGCAGAGACAACAAUACAGGACAUGUUGUUCCCCAGCAGGUUUCUGGAGCUUCAUUAAUAAUGCCAUUCAACACUAUUCUCAGGGUCAGUCCCUCUCUAGUUUUCUAAUCUCCCAGAACAAAGUACUGUAAAAAUAUAUAACCUCUCUAUCUGGCAAGCUCAUGAAAACUCAGAAUUUUAUCAUUUGUCAAAAAGCCUUUUUUCAGGCUCAGGAUCCCUGUCUCUCUCUUUUAUUAAAUACAGAUCUUCAUCACCAUCCUCAAGUGCUGCAGAUCUGUCUGCCCUUUUGAGCUUUCUAAUUUUUCUUUUGUUUCCAAAGUCUUUAUAUUUACAGAUAUUUUCUUAUAUUGCAGAUAUUUAGAAGUUGGUGCUAUACUCUGCAAUGCAUAUACAAAACUCCUAACUCCUUGUACUUUUCUGGGAAAGAAAUCAAACUGUCAGGAAAAGAAAGAAAUGCUUGAUAAAGUUUGUUAUUUUGUAAAGUACUGAAUUAAGUAAUUUCUGAAUUAAGUUUCUAAUAAAACAAUAAAUUAACACUGUGGUACUGAAAAAAAUAAAGUAGACUUGUCUUAUUAUUUAUGUUUAUAUAAACCCUAAAACUUAUUAUACCCAAUAUUUGAGAAAAAUCUAUAGAUCUCCAAAUCAGAAGUAAUUGAUGAAAGGCAAAAAACUUAUAUUUAAUUUUGGCUUGAUAAAAGAUUUCCAUUAUCCAAAAAGAAGACAACGGUUACCUGAAGCACAUGACAGUAAGCUUACUUAGUUUAGUAAUAAUGUGUCUUCUACUGAGAUUCUAAUGUAUGUCUAUCUCUAAUUUUCAUGUACAUUUUUGGAUAGAGAAGAUGACUGCUUCAUAUUAGCAUUCUUCUGUUUGUUAUUUUUUCAUUAAAUUAUUUUCAGUCUUCUUGUA